CCACGUGCGCACAUUCAUACAGACACACGCAGCACACGCACACACAAAUAAUUAAAAUGUAAAAUAUUUCUGAAUGUGCUCUAUUCUCCUACCUCUCUGCCUACCUUUAUUACAUCUGUGGAUCCUGAAUUAUACAGGGAUGCUUCCCUCCCCACAUCCAUCUUCCCUGCUGGUGGAGUCUUCCAGAACAACCCAAGCUGCCGUGACAAGUCAGCUAUCCCAGGGGGACUUCCAUUCUCCUGUCACCUCUCCUCCCACCUUCAUCAAACCUGCUUUGUGUGAAUCAUACAGAAUAUCUUCACCAUAAACAAGAGAACAUGAGAACUGCUUCCACAGAAACAGGACACAUCAGAACAUAGUUAAAGGCAAACUGAGAAAAACAUUUUCUUCUCAAUGGUGGCAUUUCAGCCCCUACUUGCACCUGUCACCAGUCCUUACUUGAUCCUGCCUGGGAGCUGCAUCUCGAUGUCUCCACAACAUGGAGUUUGCUCAGAAGGCAUCAUGCCAGCCCUCCUCGACCCCUGAGGAGGAGGAGAGGAUGAACAGUUUGGAGAAGCUAAGAAUUGCUCUCCACAAGAUGCAAAAGGAGAGAGAUGAACUCCAGAGAAUCCUCUCUUCUUACCCAAGGAAUGACCUAAACUACAGGUCUUCAAUUCUCCAUCAGAAGCUUGAAUAGUGCACAGACCAGGACUACAUCUCUCUGUGACAGAACUGUCCACCAGGAGCACUGAGUGUGCAAAGAAUGUCAACAACUCCCCCAUCUCAGUCCUAAUAACCAUAGCAAUCUUAGGGUGCAUUUUGUUCUUUACUUUGCUUUCCUAUGUGUGAGGGUCCUUCAUGAUCAGUCAGGCAAAUUUCAAAGACCUUGAGAUAUUGCCUGUAACAUUCUCAUGCUUAACCUUUGGAGGACAUGUCCAUCAGCAACCCACCACACCCUUUGAGGCAGGUCUACACUGAUCUUCAAGAGAUUAUUACCAUCUUGCCUGCCUUUCUGCUUUGUUUGCAAGGCCAGCAGCAGGCUGUGGUGUACGUAACAAAUCUGCAGCAGUCAAGUGCUGCUCCUCUCACCUGUUUUCUUUUGUUUCUGGUUAGAAGUUUGAUUGCUUUAGGUUUUGCUUUGUUUUCAGUUGAAAUUUUGUUAUUUAUUUGUUAUCUUUUUCAUUUUUUAAUUAGUUUGUUAUAUUACUAAGGUUAUAUACAUUGAACUCAUUGACUUCCCACUUUAAAUGUUGUUUAAUAAAUCAAUGUGUGAUUAUAAAUAAAA
rnacentral:lncRNA from 1 species